CACGUAGGGCGCAAGCGUUGUCCGGAAUUAUUGGGCGUAAAGAGCUCGUAGGCGGACUGUCACGUCUGCUGUGAAAAGCUGGGGCUUAACCCUAGCCUUGCAGUGGAUACGGGCAGACUAGAGGUAGGUAGGGGAGAAUGGAAUUCCCGGUGUAGCGGUGAAAUGCGCAGAUAUCGGGAGGAACACCGGUGGCGAAGGCGGUUCUCUGGGCCUUACCUGACGCUGAGGAGCGAAAGCGUGGGGAGCGAACAGG
rnacentral:rRNA from 1 species